rnacentral:rRNA from 1 species
UACGUAGGGACCAAGCGUUGUUCGGAUUUACUGGGCGUAAAGGGCGCGUAGGCGGCUUAUCAAGUCACUUGUGAAAUCUCCGGGCUUAACUCGGAACGGCCAAGUGAAACUGUCAAGCUAGAGUGCAGAAGGGGCAAUCGGAAUUCUUGGUGUAGCGGUGAAAUGCGUAGAUAUCAAGAGGAACACCUGAGGUGAAGACGGGUUGCUGGGCUGACACUGACGCUGAGGCGCGAAAGCGUGGGGAGCAAACAGG